rnacentral:rRNA from 1 species
CGUGUAGGCGGCGAUCUAAGUCGGGUGUGAAAUCCCCCGGCCCAACCGGGGAAUGGCAUUCGAUACUGGAUUGCUUGAGUGCGGUAGGGGCAAGUGGAACUCCAGGUGUAGCGGUGAAAUGCGUAGAUAUCUGGAGGAACGCCGGUGGCGAAAGCGACUUGCUGGACCGUAACUGACGCUGAGGCGCGAAAGCUAGGGGAGCAAACG